UCAGGACGAACGCUGGCGGCGUGCUUAACACAUGCAAGUCGAACGAUGAAGCCCUUCGGGGUGGAUUAGUGGCGAACGGGUGAGUAACACGUGGGCAAUCUGCCCUUCACUCUGGGACAAGCCCUGGAAACGGGGUCUAAUACCGGAUAUCACUUCCACUCGCAUGAGUGGGGGUCGAAAGCUCCGGCGGUGAAGGAUGAGCCCGCGGCCUAUCAGCUUGUUGGUGAGGUAACGGCUCACCAAGGCGACGACGGGUAGCCGGCCUGAGAGGGCGACCGGCCACACUGGGACUGAGACACGGCCCAGACUCCUACGGGAGGCAGCAGUGGGGAAUAUUGCACAAUGGGCGAAAGCCUGAUGCAGCGACGCCGCGUGAGGGAUGACGGCCUUCGGGUUGUAAACCUCUUUCAGCAGGGAAGAAGCGAAAGUGACGGUACCUGCAGAAGAAGCGCCGGCUAACUACGUGCCAGCAGCCGCGGUAAUACGUAGGGCGCAAGCGUUGUCCGGAAUUAUUGGGCGUAAAGAGCUCGUAGGCGGCUUGUCACGUCGGGUGUGAAAGCCCGGGGCUUAACCCCGGGUCUGCAUUCGAUACGGGCUAGCUAGAGUGUGGUAGGGGAGAUCGGAAUUCCUGGUGUAGCGGUGAAAUGCGCAGAUAUCAGGAGGAACACCGGUGGCGAAGGCGGAUCUCUGGGCCAUUACUGAC
rnacentral:rRNA from 1 species